rnacentral:rRNA from 1 species
GACGGAAGGUGCAAGCGUUGCUCGGAAUCACUGGGCGUAAAGGGUGCGUAGGCGGCCGCGCAAGUCUGGCGUGAAAGCCCCGGGCUCAGCCCGGGAAGGGCGCUCGAAACGGCGCGGCUCGAGUGCCGGAGGGGAGAGUGGAAUUCCUGGUGUAGCGGUGAAAUGCGCAGAUAUCAGGAGGAACACCAAUGGCGAAGGCAGCUCGCUGGGACGUGACUGACGCUGAGACGCGAAAGCGUGGGGAGCAAACAGG